rnacentral:rRNA from 1 species
GUCUACAGCCGUAAGCACCUGAACACGCCUGAUCUUGUCUGAUCUUACAAGUUAAGCAGGGAUUGGCCUGGUUAGUACUUAUAUGAGAGACUGCCUGGGAAUACUGGGUGCUGUAGGCU